ACCCCCCCUCCCUGGGUCUGCAGCAGCUCCGGCCACCUCGUCGCGCCCCCCCAGCCCCCUCCCCCCGCCCCCGCCGCCCCCCGGGCCGGUGCAGCCGCAGGCGGGGUUCCCCUCCCCCUCCCCCUCUCCCCCAGGCUCGCGCGCCCCGACCGCCCCCUCCCCUCCCCCUCCGCGCCGCCGCGAUGCCCCCCCCUGCGCCCGGGGCCCGGCUCCGGCUCCUCGCCGCCGCCGCCCUGGCCGGCCUGGCCGUCAUCAGCCGAGGGUUGCUGUCCCAGAGCCUGGAGUUCAGCUCACCUGCGGACAACUAUACAGUGUGUGAAGGUGACAACGCCACCCUCAGCUGCUUCAUCGAUGAGCAUGUGACCCGGGUAGCCUGGCUGAACCGCUCCAACAUCCUGUAUGCGGGCAAUGACCGUUGGACCAGUGAUCCCCGGGUGCGGCUGCUCAUCAACACACCCGAGGAAUUCUCCAUCCUCAUCACCCAGGUGGGGCUUGGUGAUGAGGGCCUCUACACCUGUUCCUUCCAGACCCGCCACCAGCCCUACACCACUCAGGUCUACCUCAUCGUCCAUGUCCCUGCCCGUAUUGUGAACAUCUCCUCACCCGUGGCAGUGAAUGAAGGGGGCAAUGUGAACCUUCUCUGCCUGGCUGUGGGAAGGCCAGAGCCCACUGUCACCUGGAGACAGCUCCGAGCCUGCUUAAUGAGCUCUGAGAUCCAGUUUCCCAAAAGGUACCACCAAGCUGCCUGACAUAUAUUAGGCCAGGACAUUAUCUCCAUCCCCAGAUACCCCAGUCUCUGGACCUUCCUGCUUCUUUGCAGACCCAUAAUGACCAUCACUGGGUCCCAUUCCUUAGACAAACUGAGAGUGGGAAGCCUAGUCUAGCUUAAUGUCCCUUCAUACUCCCCCUUGGUGUCUUCUGAACCCUAAAUCCCACUUGCCAUAAGUUCUAGAUGGUCUUUUGUGACCUCAGGUCUGUUAAAAAAAGACCCCAGGUGUCUGUAUUAGCAAUCUCAAUCAUCAAGUCCGAAUUCUCCGAACCCCCAAAGAACUCUGGACCCUCCCUGAAUGUGUCUGUCUUUCCUGGAUCCUUGAAAGCCAAAAACCAAGAUCCUGGUUUCACUCCCUACUUCUAAGUGGGUCCCCUGAGCAUGACAUGGGAGAUUCCAGAACCCUAGGUCUCCUGCACUCCAAAUCCUAGGCCCCUUUCCACUGGGUUCUGAGCUCCCCAGUCCUUAGCUUAGCCCCACCCUGCCCCCGCAGGACCUUCCCGGCUCCUACUGACAGGGGCACUCCAGGCCCUGCUGUGCCCGCCCCGCUGAUGUGUGUCCGUGUUGUGCCCGUGUUGUCCCGUGUUAAGUGUUUGUGUCCGGCCCCGCCCCCCACCCCCACCUCCCCCACAGACGGUUUCACCUCAGAGGGUGAGAUCCUGGAAAUCUCAGACAUCCAGCGGGGCCAGGCCGGGGAAUACGAAUGCGUUACUCACAACGGAGUGAACUCGGCGCCCGACAGCCGCCGUGUGCUGGUCACAGUGAAUUAUCCCCCGACCAUCACAGAUGUGACAAGCGCGCGCACCGCCCUGGGCCGGGCUGCCCUCCUGCGCUGUGAAGCUAUGGCUGUGCCGCCGGCAGAUUUCCAGUGGUACAAGGAUGACAGGCUGCUAAGCAGCGGUUCUGCAGAGGGCCUCAAGGUGCAGACCGAGCGCACCCGCUCUAUGCUUCUCUUCGCCAACGUGAGCGCCAGGCACUAUGGCAACUACACCUGCCGUGCGGCCAACCGGCUCGGAGCGUCCAGCGCCUCCAUGCGGCUCCUGCGCCCAGGAUCCCUGGAGAACUCAGCUCCAAGGCCUCCAGGGCCCCUGACCCUCCUCUCUGCCCUGAGCUGGCUGUGGUGGAGAAUGUAGACACCAUUCAGUACAGCGCAUCCCCCCCUGCAGGGGGCCUCAGGCCAGGAGCGAGAAAAAGGGGGUGAGCAAGCGCCAGCCACGGGUCUCCAGGGGGACAGAAGAGCUCUUAGCCACAGAGGAAGAAAGAAGAAGAGGAGGAAGGUCUUUUAGAGAACCCAUCACUGUGAGGGAUUAUGAAAAAUUAUGCAUCUUUCUACAGCCAUUCUCGCCACCCCGUUCACGUUUCCAAUUGUGACCCACCCCCAGCCACCCCACACCCCUCUCUUAGCUCAGGCUGUCAACUGGCUCGUGUGUGUGUGUGUGUGUGUGUGUGUGUGUGUGUGUGUGUGUGUGCGCGUGUGUGUGUGAAGGUGUGCUGGGGGAGGGAACCAGGAGGCACCCCUCUCUGGCACAGACCCCCCCAUGGCCCCUAGCCAUCCCUGCUGCCUGCCUCUCUUCCUUUGGCUGGAGGUAGGUAUGGGGGCUUCGUGGUGGAAGCUUUGACAAGAAGAUUGCCAGCUUUCCACCUUCCCAUAUAUGCAUGAACACCUACCCCUCUCCUCCCUAUUGAAGGGGCAGGUAGGGUGGGUGUCAGGUGUCACUCAGCCUUUGUGAAUAGGUGGGGAUCUCCAUGAAGGCUGUUUCUCCCUGCUCCAUCACCAGUUGCCUGCAGCCAGACGCUCCAUCACUGGCUCAGUGGCCUGAAACCUCCCUUGCCCUGUCCCUCUCCUCCCCUCCCUUCCCCUGAACUUUCUGGCCCUCUUCCCGGGCCAAUCGGUGCUUCCAUUCAAUUGAUAGGCUAGUGGCACUUGUCACCUGUCUGUCUCAGUGCUUUGCCCCACCCAUACCCCCAAGACUCCCCUUGGCCACAGUGGUACCCUCCAGCUGCCCUUGGGCCCCAGCAGCUGGCCCAUAAGUAUGGGCUCUCUGACAACCUGCUCCCUGGCCUCUCAACCCAUAAUACCUCCAAAGGCUGCUGUGACCACACACACACAUACACACACACACACACACACACACACAGCAUGCAUACAUGCACGCUCAUGCACACACAAACACACAUACACAUGCACACAUGCACGCACACAUGCACACCAGCGACUGACCAGCAAUAGCUCCUGGCUUCACCUGCCCCAGAGUCUGUAACUAGCAGCAGUUUCCCCGGAGUGGGCCACUGUCAUCCACACAGGAAGCUGACAGGUUCUGUGUAUGGGAACACCUCACUUUGCUACACGUCAGGCCUCACAGAGUUGGGAGAGAGGAGACGCACAGACAUUCUGAGCCCAGGCAGAGGCACCAUGCCACCAGCCCAAAAUCCAGUAACCACACACCCAAAAUCACACCACUCCGAGCCUGGUGAAGACGAGGGCAGAGAGGGGCAGGGGGGCAAGGGGCAGUGACUGUACCUCAGACGGGGGCGUGGGCCCCAUCCCACAUUGUCUUCCAUUCCCAGGGUCCGGGAUGGGGUGGGGAGGGGGAGGGCGACAAGGGGAGGUGGGAGGGGGGCCCUGGGGGCCGUGUGUUCCAAUUCAUGGGGAGUGUUGAGACCACCACACCAAUAAACGCCUUUUUCCAAAGUC